UACGUAGGUGGCAAGCGUUGUCCGGAUUUAUUGGGCGUAAAGAGCUCGUAGGCGGCUUGUCGCGUCGACUGUGAAAACCCGCGGCUCAACUGCGGGCCUGCAGCCGAUACGGGCAGGCUAGAGUUCGGUAGGGGAGACUGGAAUUCCUGGUGUAGCGGUGAAAUUCGUAGAUAUCGGGAGGAACACCGGUGGCGAAGGCGGCGACCUGGGUAGAUACUGACGCUGAGGUGCGAAAGCGUGGGGAGCAAACAGG
rnacentral:rRNA from 1 species